rnacentral:rRNA from 1 species
GACAGCAGUAGCCACGGUAAUACGGAGGGCGCGAGCGUUACCCGGAUUUACUGGGCGUAAAGGGCGUGUAGGCGGCCUGGGGCGUCCCAUGUGAAAGGCCACGGCUCAACCGUGGAGGAGCGUGGGAUACGCUCAGGCUAGAGGGUGGGAGAGGGUGGUGGAAUUCCCGGAGUAGCGGUGAAAUGCGCAGAUACCGGGAGGAACGCCGAUGGCGAAGGCAGCCACCUGGUCCACUUCUGACGCUGAGGCGCGAAAGCGUGGGGAGCAAACCGGAUUAGAGACCCCUGUAGUCCCUGUCUCUUAUAC